GACGAACGCUGGCGGCGUGCUUAACACAUGCAAGUCGAACGGAAAGGCCCUGCUUUUGUGGGGUGCUCGAGUGGCGAACGGGUGUGUAACACGUGAGUAACCUGCCCUUGACUUUGGGAUAACUUCAGUAAACUGGGGCUAAUACCGGAUAGGAGCUCCUGCCGCAUGGUGGGGGUUGGAAAGUUUCGGCGGUUGGGGAUGGACUCGCGGCUUAUCAGCUUGUUGGUGGGGUAGUGGCUUACCAAGGCUUUGACGGGUAGCCGACCUGAGAGGGUGACCGGCCACACUGGGACUGAGAUACGGCCCAGACUCCUACGGGAGGCAGCAGUGGGGAAUAUUGCACAAUGGGCGGAAGCCUGAUGCAGCGACGCCGCGUGCGGGAUGACGGCCUUCGGGUUGUAAACCGCUUUCGCCUGUGACGAAGCGUGAGUGACGGUAAUGGGUAAAGAAGCACCGGCUAACUACGUG
rnacentral:rRNA from 1 species